UACGGGGGGAGCAAGCGUUGUUCGGAUUUACUGGGCGUAAAGGGCGCGUAGGCGGCCAGCACAAGUCAGUUGUGAAAUCUCCGAGCUUAACUCGGAAAGGUCAACUGAUACUGUGCGGCUAGAGUGCAGAAGGGGGCAACUGGAAUUCUUGGUGUAGCGGUGAAAUGCGUAGAUAUCAAGAGGAACACCUGCGGCGAAGGCGGGUUGCUGGGCCGACACUGAACGGCUGAUGCGGCGAAAGCCAGGGGAGCAAACGGG
rnacentral:rRNA from 1 species